rnacentral:rRNA from 1 species
AUUGAACGCUGGCGGCAUGAUUUACACAUGCAAGUCGAACGGUAACAGGCCGCAAGGUGCUGACGAGUGGCGAACGGGUGAGUAAUGCAUCGGAACGUGCCCAGUCGUGGGGGAUAACUACUCGAAAGAGUAGCUAAUACCGCAUACGAUCUAUGGAUGAAAGCGGGGGACCGUAAGGCCUCGCGCGAUUGGAGCGGCCGAUGUCAGAUUAGGUAGUUGGUGGGGUAAAGGCUCACCAAGCCAACGAUCUGUAGCUGGUCUGAGAGGACGACCAGCCACACUGGGACUGAGACACGGCCCAGACUCCUACGGGAGGCAGCAGUGGGGAAUUUUGGACAAUGGGCGCAAGCCUGAUCCAGCAAUGCCGCGUGCAGGAUGAAGGCCUUCGGGUUGUAAAAUGCUUUUGUACGGAACGAAACGGCUCUGGUUAAUACCCGGGGCUAAUGACGGUACCGUAAGAAUAAGCAACGGCUAACUACGUG